rnacentral:lncRNA from 1 species
UCGGAAUUCCAGAACACAAGAUUCACCAAAUCAAACUGCAUACGAAAUCAAGAAAUCAACUAAUUUCACUAACCUUAGGACCAAAUUCACAAAUGGGUUUCACUAUUUUACCUCUAGAAUCUCAAAUCGUGUAGAGGGGUUUAAAGUUGCAGCUAGCCAAGAGCUUUAAUUUGAUGUUCAGUCGACGAGUCUAUCAACAUUGGCUCUGCUCAUUACGUUUUCAAAAUUGAAGGCCAGGUUUACCAUUGGCCUGGUUCUUUUUAUCCAACACUGAAUGAAUGUCCUCGCUUAUUGCAAAUGUCUGUGUAUGAUACCGAGAAUGAGGUUUCUAAUAAACUACGCGUAUUCGCAAACGAUAAUUGGCGAUUGAAUUCUGGCAUUUUCACUUUGCUUACUCAAAUCCUUGAGAGUUGUAACGUCCUUGUCAAACAAUGGAACAAAUGCUAGAAAGAUCUUGCUACGACUUGGUAGUCAAGGAUGGAUAUACAUAUUCAAAAACCAUGCCUGCAGAUAUCUAUAAUAUAAGGAGAAAAGCUACACAUUUGGACACUUCAAUGAAAUAAGACGACUCAAUGGCAGUGCAGAAACCUAGAGUACCACUGAUUAUAAUCCCGACGACCCCAGAUCCAAAAAACAGCAACAACCGAAAGAAGAACACCGGUAUCGCCAGACAAUGAGACAACGGGAAACAAGCAAAGAAGUAAAAGGAUAGCAGGAAAGGCAACAUUUUGACAAGCCAAAAAACCGAAGAUGCAUCCAUGCUGAUUUUCCAGGUGCAAAAAAGGCUAAAAAAGCUAGCAGCCUUCACAAAAUCCAUCCCUUUUGCAACACACAUAGAGCAACAGUUGGCCACCGACACCCACCUCUUCCCAGAGGUACCGGGUUCGAGUCUUGGGAGUGGCAUAUGUCGCCCAGGGUAAGAAUUCGGCAUGGGGAAGUCACCGCGGAGCUAACUUGGUCG